CUCUAGGUGAUGUAAAUAGAUAACAUGCUUGGCUGCUAACCAAAAGAUUAGUGGUUCAAGCCUACCCAGAGG
rnacentral:tRNA from 1 species